CUCUGUGGAGCUUAACUACAUACUAGUGAGGCAGUUUCACUAUUUAAUUCAAGUGUGUAGGACAAGGGACACAUUUAAAAUUUGCAACACUCCAG